AUGUUCUCUCCAUCUCGACUGCUCCUGCUGGCAACUGCUUCCUAUGUGUUCUGUGCUACUGAGCUCAUCCAGCCAGACUCAGUGGUGAUAAAGCCAGGAGAGACUUUAACCAUCACCUGUAGAGUGUCUGGAGCUUCUAUCACUGAUAGCAGCAACCACUAUGGAACAGCUUGGAUUCGACAACCUGCAGGAAAACCUUUGGAAUGGAUCAACACCAUUUAUUAUGAUGGGAACAUUGAAAAGAAAGAUUCACUGAAAGACAAGUUUGUUGUUUCUCGAGACACUUCCAGUAACACUGUGACCUUACGGGGACAGAACAUGCAGAGUGAAGACACAGCUCUGUAUUACUGCACUCGAAGACCACACAGAAAUGCCUCAUGUCUCUAA